GCCGCCCCAUCCGAUUCCAUCACUCUCAAACACCUCGCCACCGCCUCCAUCGUGCUAACGCAGCCGCCGUGCGGCUCCUUCCUCAGAAUCAACUCCGAAUCAAAUAUGCUUCCGCCUUCCACACUCUCGUCGAAAUCCAAGCAAACUCUCCUCGCGAACCUCGACAGAAACUCCUCGCUCGAUCGCACCAUCUCCUUCGCGUGCUUCCACGUUCCGUCGAAUGCAAU
rnacentral:misc_RNA from 1 species